AUUGGUAGCCAGCCUGACAGAUCUGGAAUCACUUAGGGGUCAUGUCUCUGGGUACAUCUGCGGUGGAGAUUCUAGAUUGGGUUAAAGUAAGCUGAGCACCAGCAUCCAUCUCUCCUGCUUCCUGACGACAGAUGUGAGAUACCCACGGCCUCACACUCUGCCUCCAGGUCUUCCCUGCCAUGGUGGAUGCUGCCCUCAAACUCUAUAGCCCAAAGAUAACAGUAUUAGAACCAUAAGGAGAAAGACCCCCCCCUUCUGUCCUCCUGUCAUCGAAAUCACUUGGGGAGAACCUAACCAAUGCUGUAGAUGAGUGAAGAGGGAGGUGAUGUCGCAACGAUAAACGGCACACUUACUGAAAGUAAAAGGAGGGUUCUGUAAGCUUCGCAGCCUGGCACUUAAAAAUCAAGGGAUGGGCAACCACGUCAUAAAAGAGGGAAGCACGGGAACUUCCGUGGAGCCACAAUCUAUGAUCAGAAAUUUCGAUAGGAGGAGACAUGGUGAAAACUCAGAGAGUCAAGAGCGGUGCUGGUGAGGCUUCUGUGGUGCUGGAGCAGCAACGUGGGAACCCAAGGGGAUGACGCUGUCACUGUGGAGAAGGCCAAGGGGCCAGAAAGCGAGGGAGGCAGACGUAAACUACACCAUUUCUGGUUGUAUCUUCUUCCAGGAAGUAAAUGAUGACUUCACUUUCAUUCUGUUGACCAAAGGACGUCACAGGGCUGCGCUGAGGGCAGCAAGUGCAGCCCCUGAUGCCUGGGGACAGUAAUUUUCACAGGCGUGUUUGAGAACCCAUUCACUGUCUAGCGUCAAUUGGUUAUUCCUGAAAACUUACAUACAAGUCAUAUUACGAGGACUGGGCAGGUUAUAUUUAUGAAUAAACACGUAUACGCCAAUACAGUUACACAUGCCGUAACAACUGGUGAAAGAAGAGACUAUGGACUUGAAGGAGAGUUUGGAGGGAGGAAAAGGAAGGGAGAAAUGUUGCAAUUAUGUUAUAGUCUCAAUUAUUG